rnacentral:rRNA from 1 species
GACGAACGCUGGUGGCGUGCUUAACACAUGCAAGUCGAACGGAAAGGCCCUGCUUUUGUGGGGUGCUCGAGUGGCGAACGGGUGAGUAACACGUGAGUAACCUGCCCUUGACUUUGGGAUAACUUCAGGAAACUGGGGCUAAUACCGGAUAGGAGCUCCUGCUGCAUGGUGGGGGUUGGAAAGUUUCGGCGGUUGGGGAUGGACUCGCGGCUUAUCAGCUUGUUGGUGGGGUAGUGGCUUACCAAGGCUUUGACGGGUAGCCGGCCUGAGAGGGUGACCGGCCACAUUGGGACUGAGAUACGGCCCAGACUCCUACGGGAGGCAGCAGUGGGGAAUAUUGCACAAUGGGCGGAAGCCUGAUGCAGCAACGCCGCGUGCGGGAUGACGGCCUUCGGGUUGUAAACCGCUUUCGCCUGUGACGAAGCGUGAGUGACGGUAAUGGGUAAAGAAGCACCGGCUAACUACGUGCCAGCAGCCGCGGUGAUACGUAGGGUGCGAGCGUUGUCCGGAUUUAUUGGGCGUAAAGGGCUCGUAGGUGGUUGAUCGCGUCGGAAGUGUAAUCUUGGGGCUUAACCCUGAGCGUGCUUUCGAUACGGGUUGACUUGAGGAAGGUAGGGGAGAAUGGAAUUCCUGGUGGAGCGGUGGAAUGCGCCAGAUAUCAGGAGGAACACCAGUGGCGAAGGCGGUUCUCUGGGCCUUUCCUGACGCUGAGGAGCGAAAGCGUGGGGAGCGAACAGGCUUAAAUACCCCUGGUAGUUCCACGCUGUAAACGGCGGGUACUAGGUGUGGGGUCCAUUCCACGGGUUCCGUGCCGUAGCUAACGCUUUAAGUACCCCGCCUGGGGAGUACGGCCGCAAGGCUAAAACUCAAAGGAAUUGACGGGGCCCCGCACAAGCGGCGGAGCAUGCGGAUUAAUUCGAUGCAACGCGUAGAACCUUACCUGGGUUUGACAUGGAUCGGGAGCGCUCAGAGAUGGGUGUGCCUCUUUUGGGGUCGGUUCACAGGUGGUGCAUGGCUGCCGUCAGCUCGUGUCGUGAGAUGUUGGGUUAAGUCCCGCAACGAGCGCAACCCUUGUUCACUGUUGCCAGCACGUUAUGGUGGGGACUCAGUGGAGACCGCCGGGGUCAACUCGGAGGAAGGUGGGGAUGACGUCAAGUCAUCAUGCCCCUUAUGUCCAGGGCUUCACGCAUGCUACAAUGGCUGGUACAGAGAGUGGCGAGCCUGUGAGGGUGAGCGAAUCUCGGAAAGCCGGUCUCAGUUCGGAUUGGGGUCUGCAACUCGACCUCAUGAAGUCGGAGUCGCUAGUAAUCGCAGAUCAGCAACGCUGCGGUGAAUACGUUCCCGGGGCU